UUAUUGCUUUCUUUUAUCUCUGUUUUAUCUGCAACUGUAUAGAUAUGUUUGUUGGAUACGGUAAAUUGACUAGGUCAAACUUUCUGGAUUGACCGCACAAUUUGCGUUUGGUGCUAAGGCUAGAUAGGAUUGAUUAUGUCUUAGAGAAAUCAAUCCACAUCAUCCUUAAUGUGACUUUAGAAACUUUCAAAAUGUUUGACAUUGAAAGUUAUAAGAAACAUAUGGAUGAUGUAACUUCUGCUAAAUGUGUCAUGUUUGUGUCUAUGAGUUUGGAACUGCAUAAACAACGUGAUCACAUGUUUUCGAUUGAGAUAUUGAUACACC
rnacentral:lncRNA from 1 species